rnacentral:rRNA from 1 species
AGUGAAAUCGAGUAGGACGGGACACGUGAUAUCCUGUCUGAACAUGGGGGGACCAUCCUCCAAGGCUAAAUACUCCUGACUGACCGAUAGUGAACCAGUACCGUGAGGGAAAGGCGAAAAGAACCCCUGUGAGGGGAGUGAAAUAGAACCUGAAACCGUGUACGUACAAGCAGUAGGAGCCCUUCGGGGUGACUGCGUACCUUUUGUAUAAUGGGUCAGCGACUUAAUUUUAGUAGCAAGGUUAACCGUUUAGGGGAGCCGUAGGGAAACCGAGUCUUAACUGGGCGUUCAGUUGCUAGGAUUAGACCCGAAACCAGGUGAUCUAGCCAUGGGCAGGUUGAAGGUGAGGUAACACUUACUGGAGGACCGAACCGACUAAUGUUGAAAAAUUAGCGGAUGACUUGUGGCUAGGGGUGAAAGGCCAAUCAAACCUGGAGAUAGCUGGUUCUCCCCGAAAGCUAUUUAGGUAGCGCCUCGGACGAAUACUACUGGGGGUAGAGCACUGUUAAGGCUAGGGGGUCAUCCCGACUUACCAACCCUUUGCAAACUCCGAAUACCAGUAAGUACUAUCCGGGAGACACACGGCGGGUGCUAACGUCCGUCGUGGAGAGGGAAACAACCCAGACCGCCAGCUAAGGUCCCAAAGUUAUAGCUAAGUGGGAAACGAUGUGGGAAGGCUCAGACAGCCAGGAUGUUGGCUUAGAAGCAGCCAUCAUUUAAAGAAAGCGUAAUAGCUCACUGGUCGAGUCGGCCUGCGCGGAAGAUUUAACGGGGCUAAGCUAUACACCGAAGCUGCGGCAAUGC